CUUGCUUCUCUUGAGAGCGGCGGACGGGUGAGUAAUGCCUAGGAAUCUGCCUGGUAGUGGGGGAUAACGUUCGGAAACGGACGCUAAUACCGCAUACGUCCUACGGGAGAAAGCAGGGGACCUUCGGGCCUUGCGCUAUCAGAUGAGCCUAGGUCGGAUUAGCUAGUUGGUGGGGUAAUGGCUCACCAAGGCGACAAUCCGUAACUGGUCUGAGAGGAUGAUCAGUCACACUGGAACUGAGACACGGUCCAGACUCCUACGGGAGGCAGCAGUGGGGAAUAUUGGACAAUGGGCGAAAGCCUGAUCCAGCCAUGCCGCGUGUGUGAAGAAGGUCUUCGGAUUGUAAAGCACUUUAAGUUGGGAGGAAGGGUUGUAGAUUAAUACUCUGCAAUUUUGACGUUACCGACAGAAUAAGCACCGGCUAACUCUGUGCCAGCAGCCGCGGUAAUACAGAGGGUGCAAGCGUUAAUCGGAAUUACUGGGCGUAAAGCGCGCGUAGGUGGUUUGUUAAGUUGGAUGUGAAAUCCCCGGGCUCAACCUGGGAACUGCAUUCAAAACUGACUGACUAGAGUAUGGUAGAGGGUGGUGGAAUUUCCUGUGUAGCGGUGAAAUGUGUAGAUAUAGGAAGGAACACCAGUGGCGAAGGCGACCACCUGGACUAAUACUGACACUGAGGUGCGAAAGCGUGGGGAGCAAACAGGAUUAGAUACCCUGGUAGUCCACGCCGUAAACGAUGUCAACUAGCCGUUGGAAGCCUUGAGCUUUU
rnacentral:rRNA from 1 species